AUUGAACGCUGGCGGCAGGCCUAACACAUGCAAGUCGAGCGAGCGGCGGACGGGUGAGUAAUGUAUGGGGCCUGCCCGAUAGAUGGGGAUAACUACUGGAAACGGUGGCUAAUACCGCAUACUAUCGGAAAACCCAGCUGGGAUUAGCUAGUAGGUGGGGUAAAGGCUCACCUAGGCGACUAUCGCUAGCUGGUCUGCGAGGAUGAUGAGUCACACGGGGACUGAGAAACGGCCCAGACUCCAACGGAGGCAGCAGGGGGGAAUAUUGCACAAUGUGCGCAAGCCUGAUGCAGCCAUGCCGCGUGUAUGAAGAAGGCCUUAGGGUUGUAGAGUACUUUCAGCGUGGUGGCGUUACCCGCAGAAGAAGCACCGGCUAACUCCGUGCCAGCAGCCGCGGUAAUAC
rnacentral:rRNA from 1 species